rnacentral:rRNA from 1 species
ACCGUGAGGGAAAGGCGAAAAGAACCCCGGCGAGGGGAGUGAAAAAGAACCUGAAACCGUGUACGUACAAGCAGUGGGAGCACAGGUUUACCUGUGUGACUGCGUACCUUUUGUAUAAUGGGUCAGCGACUUAUAUUCUGUAGCAAGGUUAACCGAAUAGGGGAGCCGGAGGGAAACCGAGUCUUAAUUGGGCGUUAAGUUGCAGGGUAUAGACCCGAAACCCGGUGAUCUAGCCAUGGGCAGGUUGAAGGUUGGGUAACACUAACUGGAGGACCGAACCGACUAAUGUUGAAAAAUUAGCGGAUGACCUGUGGCUGGGGGUGAAAGGCCAAUCAAACCGGGAGAUAGCUGGUUCUCCCCGAAAGCUAUUUAGGUAGCGCCUCGUGAAUUCAUCUCCGGGGGUAGAGCACUGUUUCGGCUAGGGGGCCAUCCCGGCUUACCAACCCGAUGCAAACUGCGAAUACCGGAGAAUGUUAUCACGGGAGACACACGGCGGGUGCUAACGUCCGUCGUGAAGAGGGAAACAACCCAGACCGCCAGCUAAGGUCCCAAAGUCAUGGUUAAGUGGGAAACGAUGUGGGAAGGCCCAGACAGCCAGGAUGUUGGCUUAGAAGCAGCCAUCAUUUAAAGAAAGCGUAAUAGCUCACUGGUCGAGUCGGCCUGCGCGGAAGAUGUAACGGGGCUAAACCAUG